GAUGAAGAACGCAGCGAAAUGCGAUACGUAAUGUGAAUUGCAGAAUUCAGUGAAUCAUCGAAUCUUUGAACGCAUAUUGCGCUCUCUGGUAUUCCGGAGAGCAUGCUUGUUUGAGUAUCAGUAAACACCUCAACUUCCAUAUCUUUUUGAAAUGGGAGUUGGACUUGAGUGAUCCCAACGCUUUUCCUCACCGAAAAGUGGCGGGUUACUUGAAAUGCAGGUGCAGCUGGACUUUUCUCUGAGCUAUAAGCAUAUCUAUUUAGUCUGCCUAAAAAACAGAUUAUUACCUUUGCUGCAGCUAACAUAAAGGAGAUUAGUUCUUGUGCUGACUGAUGCAGGAUUCACAAAGACAGGCUUCGGCCCACUUUGUAAACUCGAUCUCAAAUCAAGUAAGACUACCCGCUGAACUUAAGCAUAUCAAUAAGCGUAGGA
rnacentral:misc_RNA from 1 species